CGGCGAAUAAGAAACAGAGGAAGGAGAUCCUGCGGGAGACGAAGAUGGGGAUCCGGCGGAAGAAGAUUUUGGUGCCAUUGAUCCUGACGGUGAAGAGCCCGGUGCAUACGACGGAGGAGCUGGCGGAGAAGUCACCGGAGAAGUUGCCGGAGAAACAGGGGAAGAUGAUUUAGGUGACAUUGAUCCCGGCGGUGAAGAACCCGGUGCAUACGACGGAGGAGCUGGCGGAGAAGUCACCGGAGAAGUUGCCGGAGAAACAGGGGAAGAUGAUUUAGGUGACAUUGAUCCCGGCGGUGAAGAACCCGGUGCAUACGACGGAGGAGCUGGCGGAGAAGUCACCGGAGAAGUUGCCGGAGAACCAGCGGAGGAAGAUUUAGGUGGCAUUGAACCCGGCGGAGAAGUCACCGGAGAAGACGACGGAGAACCAGGGGAAGAUGAUUUAGGUGACACUGAUCCCGGCGGAGAAGUUACCGGAGAAGAUGACGGAGAACCAGGGAAUGAGGAUUUAGGUGGCAUUGAUCCCGGCGGAGAAGUCAUCGGAGCAGAGGACGGAGAACCAGGGGAAGAGGAUUUAGGUGGCAUAGGUGCGGGUGGAGAAGUUGCCGGAGACAUAUGAGAGGAAGAUUUAGGUGCCAUUGAACCUGGUGGAGAAGUUGCCGGAGACUUAGCGGAGGAUGAUUUAGGUGGCAUUGAUCCCGGCGGAGAAGUCACUGGAGAAGAAGACGGAGAAACAGGGGAAGAUGAUUUAGGUGGUGUAUGUGCCGGUGGAGACGUCGCCGGAGAAACAGGGGAAGAUGAUUUAGGUGGCAUUGUUCCCGGUGGAGAAGUCACCGGAGAAACAGGGGAAGUAGAUUUAGGUGGCAUAGGUGCCGGUGGAGAAGUCGCCGGAGAAACAUGGGAAGAAGACUUAGGUGGCAUUGAUCCCGGUGGAGAAGUCACCGGAGCAGAAGACGGAGUAACAGGGGAAGAUGAUUUAGGUGGCGUAGGUGCGGGUGGAGAAGUCGCCGGAGAAACAGGGGAAGAGGAUUUAGGUGGUGUGUGUGCGGGUGGAGAAGUGGCCGGAGAAACAUGGGAAGAAGACUUAGGUGGCAUUGAUCCCGGAGGAGAAUUUCCCGGUGAUGCUGCUUGAGGAGGAGCCGGAGUUCUAACGGACAAGACAACGACAGUAAGCUUUUGUCCCUUCUUACAGUUAUCUUCAUUACCGCUAAUGAAGUAAAACGGACCAGAACGUUCA
rnacentral:lncRNA from 1 species